UUGGAGGGCAAGUCUGGUGCCAGCAGCCGCGGUAAUUCCAGCUCCAAUAGCGUAUAUUAAAGUUGUUGCAGUUAAAAAGCUCGUAGUUGAAUUUCGGGGUCAGUAGGUUGGUCAUGCCACUGGUAUGUACUGGUCUCACUGAUUCCUCCUUCCUGAUGAACUGUAAUGCCAUUAAUUUGGUGUUGCAGGGAAUCUGGACUGUUACUUUGAAAAAAUUAGAGUGUUUAAAGCAGGCUAACGCCUGAAUACAUUAGCAUGGAAUAAUGAAAUAGGACGUUCGAUCCUAUUUUGUUGGUUUCUAGGAUUGACGUAAUGAUUAAUAGGGAUAGUUGGGGGCAUUAGUAUUCAAUUGUCAGAGGUGAAAUUCUUGGAUUUAUUGAAGACUAACUACUGCGAAAGCAUUUGCCAAGGAUGUUUUCAUUAACCAAGAACGAAAGUUAGGGGAUCGAAGACGAUCAGAUACCGUCGUAGUCUUAACCAUAAACUAUGCCGACUAGGGAUCGGAUGAUGUUAAUUUUUUAAUGACUCAUUCGGCGCCUUACGGGAAAC
rnacentral:rRNA from 1 species